GUGUGUGAAAAAAUAAAAUACUAGAUUUCUUAGCUAUAAAUACUCCCUAAGACAACAUAUAAAUCCUCCAAACAGAAUAUAAAAACAAAGAAGCAUGGCUAGUAGUAAAGUUGGUGUCCUUACUCUCCUCCUCCUAUGUGUAUUGCUAGUGGGAAGCAAUUAUGUGGAAUCUGCAGACGCUAAGAUUUGUCCUCAAUUUUGUGAACCAAAUAUUGGUUACAUGACUUGUCCAUCCACAGGACACAAGAAACUUUAUCCAAAAUGUAUCAAUUGUUGCAAAGCAGGAAAGGGCUGCAAACUUUACCGUAAAAAUGGGUCUUUAAGAUGUACUGGAACCUAAAUAAUCACCUUUGACACUUCUCAAAGGGGUUAUAACAUUAAAAUUUCCAAUAGAUUAUGGUCAUAUAUGUAAAAUAAAUUCUGAGUUUAUACUUUACUCAGAUGAACCAUAUAGUAUAUAAUAAUGAAUUUUCUAAUGUUUGUCUAA